rnacentral:rRNA from 1 species
GAGUUUGAUCAUGGCUCAGGACGAACGCUGGCGGCGUGCUUAACACAUGCAAGUUGAACGGUCUGACAUGGAAGCUUGCUGAAGUGUCGGGUAGUAGCGGACGGGUGAGUAAUGCAUGAGAAGCUGCCAUUGGGAGGGGGACAACAGUUGGAAACGGCUGCUAAUACCCCAUAUGCCGAAAGGUGAAAGGAGCGAUCCGCCCGAUGAGGUGCUCAUGUCCUAUCAGCUGGUUGGUGAGGUAACGGCUCACCAAGGCGACGACGGGUAGCCGGCCUGAGAGGGUGACCGGCCACACUGGAACUGAGAUACGGUCCAGACUCCUACGGGAGGCAGCAGUGGGGAAUAUUGGGCAAUGGGGGGAACCCUGACCCAGCGACGCCGCGUGAGGGAAGACGGCCUUCGGGUUGUAAACCUCUUUUGUACGGGAAGAAGGACGUGACGGUACCGUACGAAUAAGUCCCGGCUAACUACGUGCCAGCAGCCGCGGUAAA